AUCCAGCUGACGAGUCCCAUAUUGGACGGUACGCUUGUCCUGGAU
rnacentral:hammerhead_ribozyme from 1 species